rnacentral:misc_RNA from 1 species
GAUGAAGAACGUAGCAAAAUGCGAUAAGUAAUGUGAAUUGCAGAAUUCAGUGAAUCAUCGAAUCUUUGAACGCACAUUGCGCCCAUUAGUAUUCUAGUGGGCAUGCCUGUUCGAGCGUCAUUAAUUCCACUUAAGCCCUGCUUAGUGUUGGGAAUCUACUCUAGUGGUGCUACCCUGGAGCUACCCCUGAAAGGGGGCUGGCCCGGUAGCUACCCUGUAGUUCCUCAAAGAUAGUGCGCGGAGUUGCGUGGUCCUCUGAGCUUAGUAACUAUACACCUAGCUUUUGAGUGUCCCGCGGCGCCUGCCGUUUAAACCCCAUCUUUUAAUGGUUGACCUCGGAUCAGGUAGGAAUACCCGCUGAACUUAAGCAUAUCAAUAAGCGGAGGA